rnacentral:tRNA from 1 species
AGGGUUGUGGCUCAGUGGUAGAGUGCUUGCCUCACAUGUAUGAGGCACUGGGUUCAAUUCACAGCACCACAU